rnacentral:sRNA from 1 species
GCCGGGCACAGUGGCGCACGCCUAUAAUCUCAGCGGCUCUGGAGGCCGAGACAGGAGGAUCUUGUGUUCAAAGCCAGCUUCGGGAAAAAGCAAGGUGCUAAGCAACUCAGUGAGACCCUGUCUCUA